rnacentral:tRNA from 1 species
GUGAAGUGCAAAUUCGCCAACGUACCCCAAAAGGGUGCCGGGGCUU